UACGGAGGGUGCGAGCGUUGUCCGGAAUCACUGGGCGUAAAGGGCGCGUAGGCGGCCUCGCAAGUCCCGUGUGAAAUCCCUCGGCUCAACUGAGGAAUGGCACGGGAAACUGCGGGGCUUGAGUUCGGGAGAGGGAAGCGGAAUUCCGGGUGUAGCGGUGAAAUGCGUAGAUAUCCGGAUGAACACCGGUGGCGAAGGCGGCUUCCUGGACCGAUACUGACGCUGAGGCGCGAAAGCCAGGGGAGCAAACGGG
rnacentral:rRNA from 1 species